UGUAAAGUUCAAGCUCCGAUUAUGAGGGCGAAACCGCGAAUGGCUCAUUAAAUCAGUCAUAAUCUACUUGAUUGUUUAAAGUUUAUAUGGAUAACUGUGGUAAUUCUAGAGCUAAUACAUGCACAAAGGGGACGACUCUCGCUGUCAAAGGUGGGAGAAGUUCUGCGUUUAUUAGACUAAGACCAAUGGAAACUGCAGCAAUGUAGUUUUUCAUUUAAUAAAGGUGACUCUGAGUAAAUAAUGGGUGAAAGCCCAUGUUGCUGACCUGACAUCUCAAAAGGCUUGUUUCGCAAGAUCAAGUCUGUCAGGCAAAUCAAUCGUGUGUCUGCUCUAUCAACUGUGGAUGGUAGGAUAAUUGCCUACCAUGGUGAUGACGGGUAACGGGGAGUUAGGGCUCGACUCCGGAGAACAAGCCUGAGAAACGGCUAGUAGGACUAAGGUCUGCAGCAGGCGCGAAACUUACACAAUGCUAGAUUACAAUUAGCGAUGUAGUGAAGAAAAAUAACGAUGUACUUCCAUUUAAACAUGGUAGUACAAUUGGAAUGAGACGACUAUAAAUCAGUUAGUCGAGUAACAAAUGGAGGGCAAGUCUGGUGCCAGCAGCCGCGGUAAUUCCAGCUCCAUUAGCAUACAUUAAAGUUGUUGCGGUUAAAAAGCUCGUAGUUGAAUUUUAGGCAGGCUCUAUUGGGCAGCAUCCGUUAAGGUUCUUUGGGUAGGGCCUCAGAUUUAUAUCGGUUGCGUACCCCCCCUCUGGACGGGUUGUUUUCCCCCUGAUAGGAACUUGCUGUUUCGCCACUUAAUCAAGUGCAAAGCGAGCUGGUACAAGGGCCCAUAAUUUUCGAGUUUUGGUAUUCCGGUUUCAGCAUGUUUACCUUGAGAAAAUUAGAGUGCUCACAGCAGGCAGUUGGGGUGUAAAAGCUCCUUUAUGCUUGAAUAAUGUUGCAUGGAAUAAUAGAAUAUGGCCUCGGUUCUAUUCUGUUGGUCUUAUAGAACAACAAACAAGUUGGUUAAAGCAACCAAAAGUCUCUUUGUGGGCGUGGCUUUAACCAAUGUCGUUUAUUGGACUCUUCCCAAAUCCUGGUAUCUCUAACUCAUCAAACUCUGUUGUCUGGGGCCUUAAAAUCUCAUUACCAGGUUGGGUUGGGGUCCGUUUCUAAUUGGGUUCGUGAACGUUCCUGUCCUUAUUGUCAUUUAAAGCGCUACUUAUUCAACUAGCUUUUCAAUCAACUGAGGCAAUGGUUAAAAGAAAUAGUCGCGGCGGCAUCAGUACUGCAUCGUGAGAGGUGAAAUUCUUAGACCGAUGCAAGACUAACUGAAGCGAAAGCGUUUGCCGAGGAUAUUUUCAUUAAUCAAGAACGAAAGUUAGAGGUUCGAAGGCGAUCAGAUACCGCCCUAGUUCUAACCAUAAACGUUGCCAACUAGCAAUUGGGUUGCGAUUCCUUUAAUCGAAGCUUAAAACCCUUCGAUCAUUAUGAUCCACCCAGCGGCUCUCGUAGGGAAACCAAAGUGUUUGGGUUCCGGGGGAAGUAUGAUUGCAAAGUUGAAACUUAAAGGAAUUGACGGAAGGGCACCACCAGGAGUGGAGCCUGCGGCUUAAUUUGACUCAACACGGGGAAACUUACUAGAUUAGAACUCUGGAAUGAUUGACAGAUUGAUAGCUCUUUCUUGAUUCAGAGGAUGGUGGUGCAUGGCCGUUCUUGAUUCGUAUUCCGAAACGUCUGCUUAAUUGCGAUAACGAGUGAGACCUCACCCAACUAACUAGUCGUUUGGUGCGCUGUGGAACGCAAAAGUCUAGGUGGGAUUUCUGUUGAUUGGUAGGUUGGUAGCAAUAUCAAUUUGCUGGUUAGCUGCCCAUUUUAGAUGUUCUCUGCUCGCCAGCGGACUUCUUAGAGGGAUAAACGGUGUUUUAGCCGUAAGAAACGAG
rnacentral:rRNA from 1 species